AUAUAUUUAAGUCUAACCACUGUUAAUUAAAUCUUAUUUUGAUUGUGAUUCCUUGUUAAUUCCAGAGUCACCACUGAAUCUUUCUUCACACUUUUUUAUACUUUGUAUGUUCUUGUCCUUUCCCAGCAGGUCUCAUUAUGAAGGCUGCAGUUGCCUGAUGUGCUUGGAGCUAGUAUUCCAUACUGACCCAAUCCACAGUGUUUGCAUGCCAUCUUGGCUUCCCAGCCUCUUCAGGUGUGGCACUAAUUUUGGGAUGGAGAAGCUGUGUGUUAGCAAAAGGCAGGUACAUCUGAAAAGAUGCUUGCUGCCUUUCACAGAGGUGAACUUCUCAUUCUGGGAGCUUGUGAAGGCCGGGCUAGAAGAAGGGAGUGAAAAGAAGGACUGACCCCACAGAAUGCUCUCGCCGUAAAAAAACCACACCCCCAGUGUGAGAGUGAAAUAUAAAUCGCCACCAUCUGGAAAAAGAUCAGUAACAAAUGCAUGAAAUGAGCACAGCCCACAGCACAGGUUUCUCUGGGGUUUCCCAAACAGCCCACCUCCACUCUGGAAAUCAACACUCUUCCUAGUUGUCCCUCCCUUUUAAGCCUACCUUGUUUACCUAUACAAGAGCCUUAAUUUUCUGUUAUAUAGCAUCUUAGUUUUCAGAUGUGAAACCCAGCAUUUCUAAUUAACAUAAAAUCUUAUGAGAUGCCCUGGAAAUUUGUGUCAUAAUUAAGAGAUUAAAAAAAUCAGAAUUUGAA